UUCGUGUUUUUCAUUUGGAGGUCAUUAUCGCGUAGUAUUUUAAAAACAAAGGUACUGGGGUGUGGAUAAGAAACAGUCUUAAGUCUGUAUAAACGUGUCUGUUAAGGUACAUUAUUCGGCAUAGUUCGGCACAAGUAUAAUCGGGACAAAACUUCUCUAUCUGCACCAUUUCUCAAACACGACGGCAAUCUCGAAAUCGAAAAGACGGUACAAAAUGGAAUCAAUAGACCAAUUGGCGAAAAUUUUCCGUGCUUUGAUAAUUAGCAGCGGACGCAAACGCUUCACGAUAACAAAUUUAAAAGAGGAUUUCAAGCUACUCGAAGGGCAUUCUAUUCCAUACAACGAGUAUGGCUUUUGUCAAUUAGAAGAUAUGCUACGCUAUUUGAGCAAUCAUGUACAGGUCCAUGGUCAUGGUGCCAACGCAUACCUCACAGCAACCCCCACAACAACGUCACAGGAAACUUCAACCGCAAUGAAGUAGAAUGAUCAUACAUCGCAAGAUCAAAACAUUGACGAAACUUCGAAGGGAGAAUGUGGGCACAUUCCCUGUGACCCUAUGCAUUGCGGUAGACAUCCGCGGUAGACAAUUCGUAUUCCGUUUGAGCAAUAUGGCACCGAUUGAAAAUAAUUGUAAUGUGUGAUUGGAUUGAUUUUAUAAUGUGUGUUUGUACGGUGUACGGUACCGUUGACCAAACUAUGCAUAGGGGAAGCAACAGAGCAACCGUAGCACAGUGGGUAAUUUGUAUGCUAAAGGCGGACAUAUUUGUUUUUAGGAAGAAUCUAUGGACCUUUUUCAACGUUUUUGUUUUCUUUCUAUGUGUUUUGAUUAAAUUCAACUUUUUAUGUGUAACACACUCGUUCAAGUAUAACAAAUAAGCUAUGUUUUGUUAUUUUUAUGGUUUUUAAACGCUUUAUGUAUGCAAUCUGCAUUACAACAAAAAAAUUGAAGCACUAUGGUAAAAGCAAAUAUCAAAUUUCUGCUACAAAUCGAAUGCCUUAUGAGUUUAAAAAAGGAUAUGAAAUGAUCAAGGAGCUUUACCCACUCCGUUUGUGGGAAUUUAGACAUAAGUAAUUAUUACUAUCCGAAGUAUCCAGCCCAUGAACUAUUAUUUAAACGUUUGAUAGAAUACUUAUUAGUGUAUGUCUUCAUCACCCCCGCUGAUAGAGCAGUCGGUAACGCUCGUCCCCCCGCCCGUAAAAACGAACCACCGUAAAAACGCCGCCCGUAAAAACGAACUGUUACGGUGUUAGCGCCAGAGAUAUUAACGAAAAAUGUCUCUGAUGCAGGCUUAGAUCGCCCAGCGGUUCUAACGCCAAAUAAGAAGUAUGUCUUUCAUCAAACCUUAAAUUGAUAUUAUCUUCUUAGUUAAAUACAUGGUCAAUCGCAAUAUCGCCAAUAAAGUUUUUCCUCCAUGA